GGCGCCAUAGCCAAGUGGUAAGGCAGAGGUCUGCAAAACCUCGACUCGCCGGUUCGAAUCCGGCUGGCGCCU
rnacentral:tRNA from 1 species